rnacentral:tmRNA from 1 species
GGGGCCGAAAUGGUUUUUCGACUAAACAAACAAGCAAUGAGCUGCAUGUCCUAUGACCAUGGGUUAAGAGUCACUCCAAGUAAGUUGCAAUUCAUGUUUUCUUCAAGCUGCAUAAGACAGCUUGUGUGCACCUGCUGAGGCUCUCAUAGGCAGUGUUGCGCAUCAUUUAUGAGGGGGUUUUUUCUCCGUGUGAAAGUGUUGUUUCUGUUUAAACUCUUUUACAGGUUUGUUGUUGUUUUAGGUGUCCGGCAAUUGGUUUUCUUACAUUUUACCAAUUAUCGGAAUUCCGUUCUGCGCUUUACUUUCCCUUCCUUUGGUAGAGUGUGGAAAAAAUUGUGCCGAUAAGUGUUUUAGCGUUUUUGAUUAUCGGCACACCUCCUUUGCCAUUUCUAAACGCAAAAGCAUGUAUAAUUGCUGUUGCAGUAUUCGUUUAGGACUCGGGUUCGAUUCCCGACGGCUCCACUA